GCGGGUUUGUUUUCCCUGCUGCCAGUCGGGGUGAAGGUCACCCGGCGCUUUUCCCAGGGAGCAGCGCCGCCGGCCUGAGUCUGGCCCCUUAGCCCCAGCCGGGCUCUGGGUGGGUCGCUGGAGAUCAGUUUAUGGUUCAGCCUGUGUUACUGGGUGGGCCUUGAGAAAUUUAAAUGACAAUAGCAAACAUUUCCAUUGCGCUUAUUCAAUGCUAGGUAUUUUCUUGGAAUAUUAAUCCUGACCACAGCCCCAGGAGGUGCGGACCUUUGCCACCCCCAUUUUACAGAUGAGGAAACCAAGGUACGGGAUGCUGAGGACCCUUUCCUAGCAUGUGAUAGUAAAUGCAACGUGAUCUGGCAAAACCGUGUGAGGCUGACACCUGUUCUUACAUUCGAGGCUUGUGAUGUCCCCUGGGAUGCCAGCUGCACGUGACCACAAGGACAACAGCUGACUCUGCCGUGUUCCGUGGGCUAGGCUACAACGUUGCCCAGGUGAGGGCACCGAAUGAGUUUUCGACUGAAGAUUUUCAGCUUCCAGUGGGUUUCUCAGGAGGUAACCCUGCUGUAAGAUGACAAAACUGAAGCCUCAAGAGCCUGACUUGCUCAUGGUGACAGCAGAAAUGAGAGGAGGACUCAAGAAUUGGACUUCAGAGUUCUCAUGUUCACGGCCAUAUUGAAAUUCCUAUGGGGUCUGCAUUGCAGGACUCCUCCCAGCUACACUGCAGUAUCAGUGGGGACAUGCUUUGCACAUUCUUGCCUUCAGCUCUCUGGCACUAUUUGCUCCAUGAAUUAUUCAAUGGCCUGGUGGCCAUUGCAGGCCAUAUGCAGAUGGCCCUGGAGAAUGCAUGGUGCACAGGGUAAUUCUAGUUUUCCAAUUAGCAGCAAGGUGCUGAGCUGCGAGCCCGAAGCCUACCUAUCUCCAGGAAUGGGUUACAGCUCUUCUCCACAGGGCAGUGCCAGGCUUUGUCAUUUCAUUCACCUCUGCAGUGUCUUCCUCUUGUUCUCCUCCUCCCAGAGGUCAUCUAUUUUCUACUCCCCUGAGAGCUCCAAGGCAAGGCUAAGAGUUAGAGGGGCACACUGCAGCAGAAAUGUGCAAGAGAAAAUGUGUAGGGAAUAAGGAAAGGGGACAUUACUAGAACCUCUGCAGUGGGUCCUAGUGUCCUGCGAGCCAUGGCAGCACAAGACGAAUUAACUUAUUAUACAGGAAAGGUAGAAAAAUGAGACUUUGAGAAGAAGCUGAGCUUUGGGCCUGAUCAGUGCUGCUCUGGGCGGCAAAGAGGAAAGCCCCCAGCUUCCUGCACCUUUUAUUCAGUAGGUCAGGAGAAAUAGAUGUAACAAAUGACUCAGGACAGAGAGUUCAGUGCAUGGGGAUAAACAAGGUGUAACAAUCCAAGAACAAUGAGGAACUGAGAAGAUGAAGAUUUGGUUCCUCCCAGGAUGUCUUCAGCUCGUGUAAUCUUGUCCUGGAGAAUCACAGUAUCACCGGAUCGUUGAGGUCUCAGUUGUGACCUGCGGGCCAAAAUAGAAUUAUGUCUCAAAAUGCCAUAGCUGGCCUGUAGGCAGGAGAAGUAGAAUUUUUCCCUAAAAUUAUGUAGCAUUGCUCCUGACAAAAAUGAAAUGAGAUGAAAGAUCGCCAUGAAGAGGUCUUGGGGGAUUUCGUUAUUCAAAAGAAUUAUGAACAUAAUUCAAAAAAAGCACCAAUGGAGCUGAGCUGAGACGGAGCAUUGCUGUACAUCUUGUUUGAGCAAAUUGGUUCUUCGGUAUCUGAGUACUUGACUUUGUGCAGUGCAAGUCAGUCGCCUUCUUUGCCUCUGUUUCAUAAAGAAGAGGGCAGAGACCAUUUUCACCAACUGUGGGGAGGGUACAGUCACUAGGGAAGGGGUGUAGUCAAUUAUUUGCAGAAUGGCCUUUUGACAUGAAGACAUUGGAUAAGAUUAAUUUUUUGAUCUGUUGCAACAAGUGUGAGGCUAGGGGUAUUGUUCUUUCUUGAGAUUUUUCUCAUCUUGCCAGCAGAAAAAGUUGGGCAUCUUGUAGGAGGCUGAUGCGUCCUUACCUCACAGAUAGUAUGAAUUAUGUACCUGGUAAUGGUGCCCUCUUCCCUCUGGCUGUUUACAGAAGGCAGAACCUCUCUGUCUGCCCAGCUCUGGAAGCACGAGGGAUUUCACAGGAAUGCCUUUUAUGUUCUAGCUUACCCACGGUGCUAUUCUAGUCUAUCUUAUUUUCUUUGUCUUUUUCUCCCCUGGCUUAUGUUUAACUGACUGCCCCUUGUUGAACUGUAUGCAUCUAUGCCAGCCAUCCUUGGUCUUUCCCAAGAUGAAACCAAUAAAC
ensembl:lncRNA